rnacentral:rRNA from 1 species
AGAUUGAACGCUGGCGGCGUGCCUAACACAUGCAAGUCGAUCGGUAACGCGGGGGCAACCCUGGCGACGAGAGGCGGACGGGUGAGCAACGCUUGGGAAUCUGCCCAUCAGCGGGGGACAACCCGGGGAAACCCGGGCUAAUACCGCAUACGCUCUACGGAGGAAAGCCGGGGGACCGCAAGGCCUGGCACUGAUGGAUGAGCCCAAGUCGGAUUAGCUAGUUGGCGGGGUAACGGCCCACCAAGGCGACGAUCCGUAGCUGGUCUGAGAGGACGAUCAGCCACACCGGAACUGAGACACGGUCCGGACUCCUACGGGAGGCAGCAGUGGGGAAUAUUGGACAAUGGGGGAAACCCUGAUCCAGCGACGCCGCGUGGGUGAAGAAGGCCUGCGGGUUGUAAAGCCCUUUCGGCAGGGACGAAAGCUUCCGACCUAACACGUCGGGAGGUUGACUUAACCUACAAAGAAGCACCGGCUAACUCUGUGCCAGCAGCCGC